rnacentral:misc_RNA from 1 species
AACGCACCUUGCGCCCUUUGGCUAUUCCGAAGGGCAUGCCUGUUUGAGUAUCAUGAACACCUCAACUCUCAUGGUUUUCCCAUGACGAGCUUGGACUUUGGGGGUCUUGCUGGCCUAUGGUCGGCUCCUCUUAAAUGAAUCAGCUUGCCAGUGUUUGGUGGCAUCCCAGGUGUGAUAACUAUCUACGCUUGUGGUUUUCCGUCAAGUAACCCCCAGCGAUGGAGGUUCACUGGGGCUCAUAAAGGCCUCUCCUCGGUGAGGAAUGGCUCCUUUUGAAUGUUUGAUCUCAAAUCAGGUAGGACUACCCGCUGAACUUAA